CAACUUUUAACAACGGAUCUCUUGGUUCUC
rnacentral:rRNA from 1 species